rnacentral:snoRNA from 1 species
CCUCUCUCAGGGUCGCACCUGGAGAGUUUCCAGUACUCUGCCAGUCUCGACUAUGGGAGGUAGAGUCGAGCAGAGGCCUGUCCAUUCCAUUCCUAGCUUGGCCACUGGCUAGAGAGUGGAAGGUCAUCUGUGACAGGU